rnacentral:lncRNA from 1 species
GCUGUACCAAGAUGCUGAUGAGGGGCUGCAGCAUGCAAUUCACUUCACCAGCAGUCAAUAAGAGGAAAGGCCAUGUGAAGAUAGAGAAAAGGCUGCCAUCUCCAGGUCAGGAAGAGAGGCCUCACCAGAAACCAACUUGGACUUCUAGCAUCUAGAACUUGAGAAACUGGGAUGCUACUCCAGAAGAAGAAAAAUCAGUGCCUCUGUACAAAGGGAUCUUUGUGCUGCCAAAAGAGUAGAAAAGUUUAUCCCAGAACCAAAAUAUUUCAGAAUUGUGGAAAAUCAAGUUUUGGAAAUCUACUCAAAAGAAGAAGAAAUAUUGCUAUCACAGAAUCCCUGAAUUAGUAUACACCUAGCUGCUGUAACAAAGACGCUCAAAAACAUAAAUGACACUGUAAAAGAAGUUUAUUUCUUGUUCACAUAACUGUCCAAGGCUGGUGUUCCUGGGCAACUUCCAGUUCUCUUCCAUGCAAUGAUUCAAGGACACAGAGUUCUUCCAUCCUGUGACUCUACCAUCCCCUAGAGCCUGGAAAUUGAGAGUAAAGAGGGUACACCUGAUUCCUAACCAUCUUUACUUGGAAAUGACAUACAUCACAUUCACUCACAUUCUAUUAGGAAGCACUAGUUCAUGGCCCACCUGGGGAGAAGUGAAGGUUGGUUCAUGUAGCUGCAGAGUAGGAAGCCCCCUUCCUGGUGACUGUAGGGGUGGGUUGCCCCUACACACCUGUGGGUGUUUCUCGUAAGGUGG